rnacentral:misc_RNA from 1 species
GAUGAAGAACGCAGCGAAAUGCGAUAAGUAAUGUGAAUUGCAGAAUUCAGUGAAUCAUCGAAUCUUUGAACGCACAUUGCGCCCGCCAGUAUUCUGGCGGGCAUGCCUGUUCGAGCGUCAUUACAACCCUCAGGCCUCCGGGCCUGGCGUUGGGGAUCGGCGGAAGCCCCCUGUGGGCACACGCCGUCCCUCAAAUACAGUGGCGGUCCCGCCGCAGCUUCCAUUGCGUAGUAGCUAACACCUCGCAACUGGAGAGCGGCGCGGCCAUGCCGUAAAACACCCAACUUCUGAAUGUUGACCUCGAAUCAGGUAGGAAUACCCGCUGAACUUAAGCAUAUCAAUAAGCGGAGGA